UCCCGUGUGGCUCAGUUGGUAGAGCAUGGUGUUUGCAAGGGUUGUGGGUUCGAUUCCCACAGGGGAC
rnacentral:tRNA from 1 species